CAAGUACUCCCUCCGUCCGGAAUUACUUGUCAUCAAAAUGGAUGUGUCUAGAACUAAAAUACAUCUAGAUACAUCCAUUUCAAUGACAAGUAUUUUCGGACGGAGGGAGUACACG
rnacentral:pre_miRNA from 1 species